UGUGGGUUGACCUGAAUUUUGCAACUGGUAAUUAGAUUUGUGUGGGUGUUAAGGUUAGCUGGCACUCUUGAAUUACGUUUAACCCAACAGUCCAACAAAGCUUCUAAUCAGAUUACACUCUUUCAAAAACAGAUUCCUCUCACACAAGACUUCAGAGUGGUCUGCUCAGAUAACUAUGUGUUUUUUCAUUUUAAAAUUAAUCUGAUUGUAAUUAUUCUCCUAAGAUCUUCUUCUUUCUUUUUUGGCUUUUCCCAUCAGGGGCCGCCACAGCGAAACAACCUCUCUUUCCAGGAUAAAUCGCAUGGUUGACUUGGCAAUGUCGCUGGAUGCCCUUCCUGACGCAACCCUCUCAAUUUAUCCGGGCUUGGGACCGGCACAGAAGCAGAGAAGGGAAUAGGGAGCAGCCCGCAUUCGAGCCCUGGUUUCACGGAUGGAAGGCGCCGCAAACAAGCACGAGCUAAACUAGCUCCAAUUAUUCUCCUAAGAUAUAGUUAAUAAACAGAAUGGAAUAUCCUGAAAAAGUUUAAAAUUGUGAAUCAGUUUAAAAAGUGAAAAUCUUAUUUUAGGAAGAAUCGUUAGAUGUAGAUGGAAAUAUUUUAUGGAUUAAAAGGCCCUAUAUUAUGUAAAAUCAACUUUUUGAGCUUUUAAGUGCAUCAUAAUUUUCAUUGCUCACCGAAAGAAACCCCAAAGUGGUAUUUUGUGGUUUACCGUUCGCGCAUAUCUGAGUAUUCCUCUGAAAACCUGCUCUCUGAGCACCAGCCCCCGAUCCACAAGAACGAAUAGGUUCUCACAAGCUGAGGUAGAUAAGUGAGAACUGUCUGCACUGCCAGCACCGCCCCCAUGGUAACACAAACACUCACACGUUCUCCGUGGAGCUAGCAGUGAUCUGCAAAACGCUUUUAUUUUAAAUGCACAAUAUAUCGUUCAAUUAUGUGCUGUCCCCAAUAAAUGCCAUCUGUUAUAAGUGCUCGUUACUUUAGAAGCCAUCUUUAAAAUUAAUUUCACAAAAUUCAGUUUAUUUCCUGUACAGAAAAUCACAUCAUCAAAAAAUACACUAAUGUGUUUUUUAUGCUAAAAUUUGUGGCAUAAUUUAAUCACGUCACGUAUUUUUCUUAAUACUUUUUGAUUAUGCAUUUACUUGUUUCUUUAUAAACAUGAACACUGUGUAAAGUAAGUGCUUAAACCUGUAUCUGUUUUUUUGUCUGUGAGGAGAGGAUGCGGACAUUACUGUCUUUCGUAUCAGGAACGGCUGGUCACUCAGUCUCGUACUUGUAGACACAGAGCCAUUGUAUGCCAUGACUUGAUUUAUACAUGUUGGGUAAUAAAGCCUGCUUGCUGUGAGGGGGAAGCUCAGACCAGAAGCAGAGCACUUCUAAUAUGUGGACGCCCCUGGCUCUUCAUGCAGACUCUUGGGGGAUUUUCCUUUUCCCAUUUGCACAAAUGGUUUUUAUGUCCUCAACCAUCAGAACCCGGGAAGGCCCUACGCCGCAACAACAUGAAAACUGUGAAGUUGUUGGAGUCUAUCCCAGCCACUGCAGGGUAAAGGCAUUCUACACCCGGAACAGUUCAAUGGUCCAUUCCAAGUCCUCACACUCACAUCUAUGGAGCAUCACCUUUAGAACCGUGUUUUUCAGACUGUGCCCAAAGAAAAAGCACAAGGAGAAUAUGCCCACUCCAAACAGAAAGGACCCAGCCGGAUCUAAAACUGGGGGUGGAGUGGGGCGGGGGGAGCUUAAGAGUUGAGUGUUUUCAAUGAAACCAUCAAAAUGGAGAAACAAUACAGUCAGUUUUCAAUGUUUUUGAUCUGUUUUAAGGUGAUUUCUUUGAUCUGAGUGAAGAAGAAAAAUGUCAUAUUUUUUGGUGUUAAAAAUGAUGUGCAAUUAACAAUAAAUUAUUUUUUUAUAUUACAAA